rnacentral:rRNA from 1 species
UACGAAGGGUGCAAGCGUUGCUCGGAAUUAUUGGGCGUAAAGGGUAGGUAGGUGGUUACGUAUGUCUGGGGUGAAAUCCCUGAGCUUAACUCAGGAAGUGCCUUGGAAACGGCGUAACUAGAGUACUAGAGAGGUUCGUGGAAUUCCCGGUGUAGCGGUGAAAUGCGUAGAGAUCGGGAGGAACAUCAGAGGCGAAGGCGGCGAACUGGAUAGUAACUGACACUGAACUACGAAAGCGUGGGUAGCAAACAGG